rnacentral:rRNA from 1 species
CAGUCGCCGCGGUAAUACGAAGGGGGCUAGCGUUGUUCGGAUUUACUGGGCGUAAAGGGUGCGUAGGCGGAUUGUUAAGUCAGGGGUGAAAUGCCGGGGCUCAACCUCGGAACUGCCUUUGAUACUGGCGAUCUUGAGUCCGGGAGAGGUGAGUGGAACUGCGAGUGUAGAGGUGAAAUUCGUAGAUAUUCGCAAGAACACCAGUGGCGAAGGCGGCUCACUGGCCCGGAACUGACGCUGAGGCACGACAGCGUGGGGAGCAAACAGGAUUAGAUACCCGGGUAGUCCCUGUCUCUUAUAA